rnacentral:rRNA from 1 species
AUUGAACGCUGGCGGCAUGCCUUACACAUGCAAGUCGAACGGCAGCGCGGGGCAACCUGGCGGCGAGUGGCGAACGGGUGAGUAAUAUAUCGGAACGUACCCUGGAGUGGGGGAUAACGUAGCGAAAGUUACGCUAAUACCGCAUACGAUCUAAGGAUGAAAGUGGGGGAUCGCAAGACCUCAUGCUCCUGGAGCGGCCGAUAUCUGAUUAGCUAGUUGGUGGGGUAAAGGCCUACCAAGGCAUCGAUCAGUAGCUGGUCUGAGAGGACGACCAGCCACACUGGAACUGAGACACGGUCCAGACUCCUACGGGAGGCAGCAGUGGGGAAUUUUGGACAAUGGGCGCAAGCCUGAUCCAGCAAUGCCGCGUGAGUGAAGAAGGCCUUCGGGUUGUAAAGCUCUUUUGUCAGGGAAGAAACGGUGAGGGCUAAUAUCCCUUGCUAAUGACGGUACCUGAAGAAUAAGCACCGGCUAACUACGUGCCAGCCGCCGCCGUAACAC